GAUGAACGCUGGCGGCGUGCCUAAUACAUGCAAGUCGAGCGAACAGAUGAGGAGCUUGCUCCUCUGACGUUAGCGGCGGACGGGUGAGUAACACGUGGAUAACCUACCUAUAAGACUGGGAUAACUUCGGGAAACCGGAGCUAAUACCGGAUAAUAUAUUGAACCGCAUGGUUCAAUAGUGAAAGACGGUUUUGCUGUCACUUAUAGAUGGAUCCGCGCCGCAUUAGCUAGUUGGUAAGGUAACGGCUGACCAAGGCAACGAUGCGUAGCCGACCUGAGAGGGUGAUCGACCACACGGGAUCUGAGACACGGUCCAGACUCCUACGGGAGGCAGCAGUAGGGAAUCUUCCGCAAUGGGCGAAGGCCUGACGGCGCAACGCCGCUUGAGUGAUGAGGGUUUUCGGAUCGUAAAACUCUGUUAUUAGGGAAGAAGAAAUGUGUAAGUAACUAUGCACGUCUUGACGGUACCUAAUCAGAAAGCCACGGCUAACUACGUG
rnacentral:rRNA from 1 species